rnacentral:rRNA from 1 species
AAUAUUGCACAAUGGAGGGAACUCUGAUGCAGCAACGCCGCGUGAGUGAAGAAGGNUUNNGGAUCNUNAAACUCUGUCAUUGGNNNNNAAUAAAUGACGGUACCCAAUGAGGAAGCCCCGGCUAACUACGUGCCAGCAGCCGCGGUAAUACGUAGGGGGCGAGCGUUGUCCGGAAUUACUGGGCGUAAAGGGUACGUAGGUGGCUAUAUAAGUCAGGUGUGAAAUACCAGUGCUUAACACUGGAAUUGCAUUUGAAACUGUGUAGCUUGAGUGCAGGAGAGGAAAGUGGAAUUCCUAGUGUAGCGGUGAAAUGCGUAGAUAUUAGGAGGAACACCAGUGGCGAAGGCGGCUCUCUGGUCUGUAACUGACGCUGAGGUGCGAAAGCGUGGGUAGCAAACA